AGAAGUUUUUGGAUCAAGUGCAAGAAAAAUUAAAGAAGGAACUCAGUGUUGAUGAACAAGGAAUAAUCAGGUACAAUAUGCGGUUGUGGUUACCAAAAGAGUCAUAUUUGAUUCAAGACAUCUUGUCUGAAGCACAUAGUACCAGUUACUCCAUUCACCCUGGAAGCACAAAGAUGUAUAAGGAUUUGAAGACUUCGUUUUGGUGGCCAGGAAUGAAAAGAGAUGUGGUAGCUUAUGUAGCUAAAUGUGGAAAGUGUCAAGUUGUUAAAGCUGAACAUCAGAAACCCAGUGGAAUGUUGCAACCUUUACCAAUUCCAGAAUGAAGGUGAGAAGAGAUAGCCAUGGAUUUUGUUACAGACUUUCCUAGGUCAAAACAAGGGCAUGAUAGUAUAUGGGUAGUAGUUGACAGACUCACCAAGUCAGCCCAUUUUCUACAUAUCCGUCAGACUGAUUCAGUGGAGAAAUUGGCCAAAUUAUUCGUGAAGGAAAUUAUCAGAUUACAUGGAAUUCCUAAGGCUAUUGUAUCAGAUAGAGAUGGGCGCUUCACAUCUAAGUUAUGGAAUAUUACACAUGCAAGUUUAGGUACAAAAUUGAAAUUCAGCACUAUAUUUCAUCCUCAGAAAGAUGGUCAAUCAGAAAGGUUGAUUCAAGUGUUGGAAGAUUUGUUAAGAUUUUGUAUCCUAGAUUUUGGAGGUAGCUGGAAGGAUCACAUUUCAUUAAUAGAAUUCACUUACAAUAAUAGCUACCAAUUCAGUAUCAUAAUGGCUCCAUAUGAAGCUUUAUAUGGCAGAAGAUGCAUCACUCCCUUGAGUUGGUUUGAAGUUGGUGAAAGACAAUUGUUGGGUUCACAGUUAGUGGAUCAAGCUACGGAAAAGGUAAGACUAAUCAGAGACAGAUUAAAAGCAGCUUAAGACCGCCAACAGAAAUAUUAUGAUCGCAAGCAUAAAAUGAUAGAAUUUGAUGUGGUAGAUUUUGUAUUCCUGAAGGUAAGACCAAUGAAAGGUAUUUCUAGAUUUGGCCAAAGUGGAAAACUCAGCCCUAGAUUUAUAGGUCUAUAUGAGAUUAUUGAAAGAGUGGGACAAGUAGCAAACAGGUUGGCUCUACCUUCAGAUAUGUCCGAUAUACAUAAUAUUUUUCAUGUAUCAAUGCUCAGAAAAUGGGUUACAGAUGAAGAUCAAAGAGUUCUUAAAAAAGAUAUUAAACUUCAGAAAAAAUUGACAUAUGUUGAAUAACUGGAAAUUUUAUUGGAAAGGGAUAUUCGUAAAUUAAGGAGCAGAAUAAUACCUUUUGUAAAUGUUAAGUGGAAGCACAGAAUAGUAAAAUAGGCUACACGAGAAAAGGAAACAGACAUGAAACAUAAGUUUCCUCACUUGUUUAAUGUUGAAUGAAAAGUAGAAUUUCGAGGACAAAAUUCUAUUAAGAAAGGAAGAUUUGUAAUAUCCAAAGAGUCAAAUUUUCAGGUAUGCAUUUUUAUUGUGUAAAGCUUUAAUUAGUAGCUAUUUAUUUAAAUAGAAGGAUUAGUUAAGGAUCAAUUAGAUAGCGGAAUUAUAAUAAUUAAUUGAGUUUUUUUUAUUAGCAGUCGAACAGAUGUUUUUAGGGAGGAGACUUUUGGAAAUCGGUUGAAGAGUGGGACCCACUCUUUUAUCCAUAUCUGGAAAUUAAUUCUUGGUAACUGCCGCUAUUUCUGUGAAGGAAGGCAGAGAAAUCUGUAGCAAGAAUUCGGUUCUCCACUCUCAACCGAGACGCGCAGGGAACAGAUUGGCUGAAGCAAGAGGCAUAAGCAGCAGCAGCUGAAGGAUUUUUUUCAAUUUCCCAGUAGAAAGGUCAGCACAGUGACUGCUUGCGGGCUGUAGUGGUUUCAGCAUAGUGCUGAAAACACUGUAGCAUAGGUGGUCAAUUGCCGCUGAGAACAGAGGGAAUUCGCAAAAUCUUCUGGUGCAAGCAAUAGUUCUGUGGUUCAAGGGAUUCAGAGCAUAUCUUUGAAGGGAAUUUUGUUGCAAUUGUGAAAAAAGGGAAAUAAUUGCAAGUAAAAUGAUUAGAAUUUUUAUGAAUUGUAGUGUUGUGUGCAUGCAAACUAGUUUAAUGAAUUAUGAAUUAAGGUGGUAGCUUGGAGAGGAGAGAAAGGAAGAAUAGAAGAAAAGAAUAUCGGAAAGAAAGGAAGAAAAGGUGAGAAGUAUACUAUUAACCUUUAUCUUUUAUGUCACCUAAAUUUAGUAACAUUUCUAAUAGUGAUAACCUAAUUGUAUGGUAUGAUUAUUCAUAAAUUUAUGCAGAAAGAAAGCUUUGGGUUUGUGUAUCAAAGGAGAAGGAUUCGUGGUGUAGGUUUUGAAGAGAUCAACAAUCAAAGAGGAAAAGGGAAAGGAAAAGUGAAAGAAGUUUGAUAUGCAAGUAUUUAAGUUUUAUGUAAAUGUUUAUUUAAAUGUUUUAAUCUACUCUUAAGGUUAGUAAAGAAGUUUUAAAGUUGUUUUACUUUGAAUUGUUUUGGAUUUCCUUAGUGGCUCUGUACAAAGUCUUUGAUGUGAUGAAAUAUGGGGAAUUAUUAGA